UACGGGGGGGGCAAGCGUUGUUCGGAAUUACUGGGCGUAAAGAGCUCGUAGGCGGUCUGUCGCGUCUGCUGUGAAAACUCGGGGCUUAACCCCGGGCCUGCAGUGGGUACGGGCAGACUAGAGUGCGGUAGGGGAGACUGGAAUUCCUGGUGUAGCGGUGAAAUGCGCAGAUAUCAGGAGGAACACCGGUGGCGAAGGCGGGUCUCUGGGCCGUAACUGACGCUGAGGAGCGAAAGCAUGGGGAGCGAACAGG
rnacentral:rRNA from 1 species